UGGGGAAUAUUGGACAAUGGGCGCAAGCCUGAUCCAGCCAUGCCGCGUGUGUGAAGAAGGCCUUCGGGUUGUAAAGCACUUUUGUUGGGGAAGAAACCGACCGGAUUAAUACUUCGGUUGAAUGACGGUACCCAAAGAAUAAGCACCGGCUAACUUCGUGCCAGCAGCCGCGGUAAUACGAAGGGUGCAAGCGUUACUCGGAAUUACUGGGCGUAAAGCGUGCGUAGGCGGUUUGUUAAGUCUGUCGUGA
rnacentral:rRNA from 1 species